rnacentral:lncRNA from 13 species
ACAUCGCUGAGAAUGCGUUCAGUGGGAAAAAGAUUAUGCCUCUGUGACACUAUGAAAUAUAUAUAUUUUGGGCUUCAUCUGUUUCCUGACACAUGGCUCAUAAAAUACUUGGAAUCUCCAAAUGAUGAGUCUUUUGUAUGUCAGUGAAAUGACUGCUGGUUCAGGGGCCCUGAAUAGCUUCAGGAUGGGGCUGGUUCCCAGGGGAACCCACCAUGUUGUCAGAGGGUUGGAUCUUUCAGCUUCAACAGGACCUCCUAGGAGGAGAGAGGGGCUGAAGAUUGAGUGACCAUCAAUGGCCAAUGAUGUCAUCAAUCACGCCUACAUAAUAAAGCCUCCAUGGAACCCCAAAAGAACAGAGUUUGGGGCAUUUCUGGCCAGCUGAACAUGUGGAGAUUCCUGGAGGAUGGUGUUCCCGGAGAUGGUGGUCUCUGGAGGUAUGGUGACAAAGAGCUUGGUGACUUUGCUCUGUUGGGACAGCACGUGCUCAGGCUUGUGAGGAGGCCUGCUCAUGGCCCAUGGGCUGCAGGUAACAUGACAAAGUCUUACUCUGUCACCCAGGCUGGAGUGCAGUGGCACAGUCAUGGCUCACUGCAGCCUCAACCUCCCAGGCUCAAGCUAUCCUCCCACUUCAGACUCCCCAGUAGCUGGGAAUACAGACUUAAGUGGCUGCUGGUCCCCAGACGAAUAGAGCACUGUUCACAACAGCCAUGAUCUGGAAGCAACCAAGUGCCCAUCAGCAGAUGAACGGAUAAAGAAAAUGUGGCACAUACACACAAUGGAGUAUAAUUCAGUCAUUAAAAAAUGGGAUUCUGUCAUUUGUAACAAUAUGGAUGGAACUGGAGGUCAGUCAUGUUAAGUGAAAUAAGCCAGGCACAGAAAGACAGACAUUACAUGUUCUCACUUACUUGUGGGAUCUAAAGAUCAAAUCAGUUGAACUCAUGGAGAUAGAGAGUAGAAGGUUGGUGACCAGAGGCUGGGAAGGGGCGUGGGGUUGGGGAGAAGGUGGGAAUGGUUAAUGGGUACAAAAAAAUAUUAAGAAUAAAUAAGACCUGGUAUUUGAUAGCA